AUUGAACGCUGGCGGCAGGCCUAACACAUGCAAGUCGAACGAGUGGCGGACGGGUGAGUAAUGUCUGGGAAACUGCCCGAUGGCGGGGGAUAACUACUGGAAACGGUAGCUAAUACCGCAUACCAUCGGAUGUGCCCAGAUGGGAUUCGCUAGUGGGUGGGGUAAUGGCGCACCUAGGCGACGAUCCCUAGCUGGUCUGAGAGGCUGACCAGCCACACUGGAACGGAGACACGGUCCAGCCUCCUACGGGAGGCAGCAGGGGGGAAUAUUGCACAAUGGGAGCAAGCCUGAUGCAGCCAUGCCGCGUGUAUGAAGAAGGCCUUCGGGUUGUAAAGUACUUUCAGCGAGGAGGCGUUACUCGCAGAAGAAGCACCGGCUAACUACGUGCCAGCAGCCGCGGUAAUAC
rnacentral:rRNA from 1 species